rnacentral:rRNA from 1 species
UCGUAGUUGGAUUUCUGUUAAUAAUUUAUAUAAAAUAUUUUGAUGAAUAUUUAUAUAAUAUUAACAUAAUUCAUAUUACUAUUUUUUUUUUUAGUAUAUGAAAUUUUACUUUGAGAAAAUUAGAGUGCUUAAAGCAGGCAUAUGCCUUGAAUACUCCAGCAUGGAAUAAUAUUAAAGAUUUUUAUCUUUUUUAUUGGUUCUAAGAUAAGAAUAAUGAUUAAUAGGGACAGUUGGGGGCAUUUGUAUUUAACAGUCAGAGGUGAAAUUCUUAGAUUUGUUAAAGACAAACUAAUGCGAAAGCAUUUGCCAAGGAUGUUUUCAUUAAUCAAGAACGAAAGUUAGGGGAUCGAAGACGAUCAGAUACCGUCGUAGUCUUAACCAUAAACUAGGCCAACUAGAGAUUGGAGGUUGUUCCUUACUCC